UUUCAUAGUAAUGAAAAAAUAAAUACAGAAUCUCCAGUUUAAGAAUGUGAAAUCGUGAAUUAACAAUAAAGUCUUACCUACAUUCACUCAAUUGCAUAUGUAUAAAUACAUGAUAAUUUUUUAUUGAUUGGAUAUACAAAUAUACAAAGUGUAGGUAAUAAUGUUCCUAAAAAAGAACCACAGAAUCAGAGUGAUUGAGAAUGGCAAGUAAAAUCUAGGCUGAAGAUGCUUGAAAGUUGAAAUCAGAAAUAUAACUGAUAACUCUUGCAGCUGCUCCCGUUAUAUCAUAAUGAUUGGGAUUCCCAGAGGAAAUUGAAAUUCAUACAAAGACUGGAUCCACAGUAGCUGACAAAAACUGCCAACUCAACCCCAUACCAAUUACCAAUAAUGUAAGCUGUGGGGCUCUGUUUUUGAUAAUUUCUAAUAGAGCCAACCACAUACCCUAAUUGAAAAUUCUGGUGGGAGAAUUUUCAAAUAUCUAGAUUUAAAUUUAAAAUUUAAAAUU
rnacentral:misc_RNA from 1 species